UGUUCUGUAGAGAGCGUCAAUUUGAAUUGAAUACUGGUAAAUACUGGGAAGAGCUUUCUUCACGGAGAAACUUAGGUGUUUGUACUUACAAAUCACUUGAACUGUUUGCUGUUGUGGUCUGACCAGCGUUGGCCGUCAAGAAUAGAGAUCACAGCUUGUCUCUGUCUUACCAACCCGCCGAUUCGGUUGCUUUCGCUAUUGGGUUAUUGACAAGAGAUUUGUUCACGAAGAAACUUGAGUGACUGUACUAACAAAUCACUUGAACAGUUUCGUUGUUGUGUUCUGACCGGCGUUGGCUUACUAAGGCACCGUCAAGGUGAGCUGCAAGGCGC